UAAACAGUAGUGGACCUCACUGACAGUCUCACAUACGGCCGGAUUAAUUCCAGAAUUCAAGUUCCUGCAACCAAAUUGGCAAAUUCACAUUUCACAAGGCACGGUCGAUCCAUUCCAACUCAACUGAACUUGAAAUUACUCGGGCGGGCGAAUUCACAGUUUUACAGAAGCAAAUUGACUGGGUCGGUCAUCCCAGAUCGAGAUCAUCCACGCUUUUACAGCUCCACGCACGCACCACAAACUGACUCGACUGACCGACCGAUCGACGGAUCCCAGGACUGAUUGAUUCAAAGCAAACGAGGCGAGCUCCGCAUACAUGCAUCAUGGCAUGCGGCGACCGCGCGAGAAACUAAAACGACUGAUGACGGGAAGGAAGG
rnacentral:lncRNA from 1 species